UUUAUGAAUGUUAUUUAGGUUUAUUUUAAAAAAAUUAUUUAUAUUAUGGUUUAAUAUUAUAUAAAAAAUAAAUUUUUGGGGUUAAAACAAAAAAUAUCUUUUUGUAAAAAGGUUAGUAUCUUUGUACUGUAUUUAAGGUUUAAGUAGUUUUAAAAACUUAAAAUAAAUGGUAGUAGAAUACUCAGUCUAGGGGAUUUUAAAAUUUAAUUUGAUAGUCCUCAAUUUUAUUUACUUUAAAUAAUUUUAUGUGUGGUUGUUUAAAAACAUUUUUUAAAAUGAAUUUUAGCUCAGAUUUUACGUAGUAUUUUAAAGGAGUUUUGAAGUAUAGUAUAAAAUUAAAGAAAAUUAGUAUUUUUUUAAGACUUAGAAGUAAUUAAAAAUUAAUGAAAUUGUUUUGUUUUAGGCUCAUAUUGUCCGUCACUCUCAUUUGU
rnacentral:rRNA from 1 species